rnacentral:lncRNA from 1 species
UUUUAUGUGAUAUUGUUGAUCUCAAAAUCCAAUCACAACCUAAAGGUUUGUAAUCAACUCAAUAACACCAAUUUCAAAACGUAAUAAAAAAGUAUUAUCCAAAAAUUUGAUCAAACGAUCUAUGAAAUUAACAAUUUUCAAACCAAAAAUAAAAGAGAGAUGGAGAGAGAGAGAGAGAGAGAGAGAGAGUACACAAGAAUUGGUUUAGGAAGUUCCUUAAUCGACCUCUCUAUGAGUAUGUUUGCCCUCAAUUCGAAUGCGAAUUGAGAUAGUG